CGAACGGGGAUGCCAUUUUUGAGGCGGUUAGUUUACUAAGCGCCAAGAUGCCGGCAUCUUAGUGGCGGACGGGUGAGUAACGCGUGGGUAACCUGCCUUAUACAGGGGGAUAACACUUAGAAAUAGGUGCUAAUACCGCAUAAGCGCACGGGGCUGCAUGGCCCAGUGUGAAAAACUCCGGUGGUAUAAGAUGGACCCGCGUCUGAUUAGCUUGUUGGCGGGGUAACGGCCCACCAAGGCGACGAUCAGUAGCCGGCCUGAGAGGGUGGACGGCCACAUUGGGACUGAGACACGGCCCAAACUCCUACGGGAGGCAGCAGUGGGGAAUAUUGGACAAUGGGGGGAACCCUGAUCCAGCGACGCCGCGUGAGUGAAGAAGUAUUUCGGUAUGUAAAGCUCUAUCAGCAGGGAAGAAAGAAAUGACGGUACCUGACUAAGAAGCCCCGGCUAACUACGUGCCAGCAGCCGCGGUAAUACGUAGGGGGCAAGCGUUAUCCGGAUUUACUGGGUGUAAAGGGAGCGUAGACGGUUAUGCAAGUCUGGAGUGAAAGGCGGGGGCCCAACCCCCGGACUGCUUCCCCAACUGUGUAACUGGAGUGCAGGAGAGGUACCGUGGAAUUCCUAGUGUAGCGGUGAA
rnacentral:rRNA from 1 species